AAAAAAAUAAAUAAAUCACACUUUCCCUCUGGUAAACAAUUUGAUUACAUUCUCUGAUUGUAUAUUACAAUCAGAGAAUAAUAUGUUUAUUUGCUUAGAGUAUGAGUGAUAAUGUUAUGUCCACUUCAAAGAAGGUUUGACUAAUGCCAGCUAACAGCUAACACAGGCUAACAGCAGCUAACAAUGGCGAAAGCAACAACGCUUAGCGACAGGAAAGUUAGUUAACUUUCUUUUGCUGCCAAUAUCUGGUCCUUUCUGGAAAGCUGAUUCGUUCUACACAUGUGAAAAUGUGCAUACUUCCUCUUAUCCCUAAAGUUUAAAAGUAAUCGUUUUCUUGCUUGUCUUGGAUUAAAUUUACUGGACUGUAUUUGUUUACAUCAGUAGUGUCUGUUGUUACAGUGAGGUCAUCUGACGUUUAAAGCUCGCCAUCUUUACCUCAAUUCGUUUCAAGGUUUUCUCAUUGCUGAUUGGCUCCUGGGUUUCUUUGUCCCUUAACUGAACUCACCUGAAGCACAUUAUAUAAGAACUGCAGCUAAGGUCAAAUGUGAUUGGGUGGUAAAGCAACAACAUCUUUUCCCACUUUGAUGGCAGACAAAACCUCCAAUUCCAGGUCAAGUAACAGCACAAAAAUCAAGACUACCACGGCUCUGUGAGGUUUUUCAAAUCUAUUUUUCCUGCAUGUGUUCACCAUGGCUUUUGCUUUCAAAUAAAACUUGCUGAGCGAGCAUGAAA